rnacentral:rRNA from 1 species
UACAGAGGGUGCGAGCGUUAAUCGGAAUUACUGGGCGUAAAGCGUGCGUAGACGGUUAUUUAAGUCGGGUGUGAAAGCCCCGGGCUCAACCUGGGAAUUGCAUUCGAGACUGAAUAGCUAGGGUAGGGUAGAGGGAAGUGGAAUUUCCGGUGUAGCGGUGAAAUGCGUAGAUAUCGGAAGGAACAUCAGUGGCGAAAGCGACUUCCUGGACCAGUACCGACGUUCAGGCACGAAAGCGUGGGGAGCAAACAGG